rnacentral:rRNA from 1 species
AUUGAACGCUGGCGGCAUGCCUUACGCAUGCAAGUCGAACGGUAACAGGUCUUCGGAUGCUGACGAGUGGCGGACGGGUGAGUAAUACAUCGGAACGUGCCUAGUAGUGGGGGAUAACUACUCGAAAGAGUGGCUAAUACCGCAUGAGAUCUACGGAUGAAAGCAGGGGAUCGCAAGACCUUGUGCUACUAGAGCGGCCGAUGGCAGAUUAGGUAGUUGGUGGGAUAAAAGCUUACCAAGCCGACGAUCUGUAGCUGGUCUGAGAGGACGAUCAGCCACACUGGGACUGAGAAACGGCCCAGACUCCUACGGGAGGCAGCAGUGGGGAAUGUUGGACAAUGGGCGCAAGCCUGAUCCAGCAAUGCCGCGGGCGGGAUGAAGGCCUUCGGGUUGUAAACUGCUUUUGUACGGAACGAAAAGCCCCGGGUUAAUACCCUGGGGUCAUGACGGUACCGUAAGAAUAAGCACCGGCUGACUACGUGCCAGCAGCCGCGGUAA